GCCUCGAUAGCUCAGUCGGGAUAGCGUUAGACUGAAGAUCUAAAGGUCCCUGGUUCAAUCCCGGGUCGAGGCA
rfam:Ciona savignyi cont_60536, whole genome shotgun sequence.